rnacentral:tmRNA from 3 species
GGGGGCGAACGGUUUCGACGGCAUAUGGGCGUGCGCGGAAAGCGAGCCGAGGUCCCGUAACCUCGUAAAACAACGGGAAGAAAAAAUAAAUGCCGACUACGGCUACGCAAUGGCUGCUUAAUUAAGCAGCCCAUCCCUUUAGCCUGACGCCGCUAAGGCUGAAGGGGUGAAAAAGGCGCGGCUCUUCCAUGAAAGGUCGCCCCGCCUUUCAUGGAGAAAACGAACCGGGGCUUGCCCUUGAAGGAUCCUGCCCUUGGGAGCCUUCAAGGGGAGAGCGAAACAAGGGCUACGCUCGUAGCGGGUUCCGGCAUCACCAUAUGUCGGACGCGGGUUCGAAUCCCGCCGCCUCCACCA